GAUGCGUUUCAGCAGCAACACUUUGCGGACACAACGUAUCCCAUCCGAAUGAAUUCAACCAGUGUCAACCUGCUUUAAACGACACUUAACCAUCACUAUAGUCUGGUGCACAUGUGUAAAGUUGUGGGCUUGAACUAAACGCCACUGAACACCGUUCGGUUCAACUUUCCUUAUGGGAUUGUGUCAGCAAACAUGAAGAGCACUUUCAGAGGCUCGAGGUUGCGGUCGGCGGAGUCUCUAUAGGCGUUAUAUAGGAUAUUAAAGUCAGAAGGAUGCUGCUGGGAAAUGCCUGGAGACAGAGAGGAUGAGAUUUGUGGAAAGGCGCUGGAGCUGCUGACCGACCUCUGCUCGAGAGGAGAAGUGCAGGAUGACAACUGUUUGGAUUUCUCAUACUAUUUUCGCGACCUGGGGAGACCGAGAUAUUCAGACUCGGAUGUGUCUAUAAGCCUGCUUUCUCUCUUGGUGACAACAUGUGGCCUCGCACUAUUCGCCGUCUCCCUCUUCGUGUCAUGGAAGCUGUUCUGGGCCCCAUGGCGCGAUCGCUUCCUGCCUGGUCUAAAGGACCACCAGGGAGAACAGCAGCCCGUCCUGACCGAGGUGGAAGGUCUGGAGCGGGAAUAUAGCGAAGACUUUGAGAAAGAUCCUUCAGCCCCAAUGAUGCUGCCAGAGUCAGCCAUGAAGAUCAGUCAUACGUCCCCGGACAUCCACUUGGAGGCCCAGUGUAAGGCCAGGGAGCUCAAUCACGUCCACGUAGCUCGCGUACAGCGACAAGUAACCGACCCGACCUCAUCUGUCAGGCACAAUUCCAUCCGGAGACAAAUGAACGUCUCCAACCCUGACUUCAACAUGGCCCAGUUCCAGAGACAGGAGUCCAUAACGGGUCCGGGCCUGGGCAGCAUUAAGCCUGAGCUGUACAAGCAGCGUUCUGUAGACGCGGAUGACGGCAGGCGAGCGGACAGCUGCGGUCGUCUGCAUUUUAUCAUCAAAUACGACUGUGAUUUAGAGCAGCUCAUCGUGAAGAUCCAUAAGGCCCAAGAUCUCCCUGCCAAGGACUUUACCGGAACGUCCGACCCGUAUGUAAAGAUCUACCUUCUCCCGGACCGCAAAACCAAACAUCAGACCAAGGUGCACCGCAAGACUCUAAACCCCAUCUUCGACGAGGUUUUUCUAUUUCCCGUGGAGUACGCCGAGCUGCCCACCCGCAAGCUGCACUUCAGCGUGUAUGACUUUGACCGCUUCUCGCGUCACGAUGUCAUUGGCCAAGUGGUGGUGGACAACUUCCUGGACUUACCUGACUUUCCGCAGGAAACCAGGCUGUGCAGGGAUAUCGUUUAUGUUAGUGCGGAUAAUGUGGACCUGGGAGAGCUGAUGUUCUCUCUUUGUUACUUGCCAACCGCCGGCCGACUGACUAUAACAAUAAUUAAAGCCAGAAAUCUCAAAGCAAUGGACAUCACUGGAGCGUCCGAUCCUUACGUAAAGGUUUCUCUGAUGUGUGAUGGACGGAGACUGAAGAAAAGAAAAACAUCGACGAAGAGGAACACUCUUAAUCCGGUCUAUAAUGAAGCCAUUGUUUUUGACGUUCCACCUGAGAACAUUGACCAAAUAAGUCUUCUAAUAGCAGUAAUGGACUAUGAUCGUGUUGGUCACAAUGAGAUUAUUGGCGUGUGCAAUGUGGGAAACCGAGCUCAGAGUUUGGGACGCGACCACUGGAAUGAGAUGCUGACGUACCCGCGUAAACCCAUCGCCCGCUGGCACCCGCUCAUAGAGUGGGUUGGCCAGAGCACGGCCGGUGGAAACCAAGGCUCCUGUAACUCCCUGAGGACGCCUCCAUCCCCAUAAUGGAUACCGGGGAAUUUCAGCCAUGGCAAAGUCCAGUUCACAACAUUAUUGAAAAGGCGAGAGAGAGACAUUUCUGUUAAAGGUCACUUUAAAUGUGUGCACUGCAGUAAACACCCAGGACUUUUUAGAAAUGAGAUUUCCUGGAAAGGAGAGUGUCAAGUCCACUGCAUGUGAAGUGACCGUUCGUGAGCAGUAUUUGUUUUUAAAAUGAGCCUUGAACAUUGUUCUGCUUUGGUUAAGAACUUUAGUUGACAGGAGAAAGUCAUACAGGUUUGGAAUAACACGAAGGUGAGUACAUGAAAAAUGUUGAUUUUGGGUAAACUAUCCCUUUAAAAGCUACAUAAAGCACAAAUCUCCAGUAUGUCAUCCAAAUAUCCAUACCUUUGUGUUUGGAAAGAUGUCAGGUGCAUCUUUUUGAUAAAUUCAUCAACGUCCAGAUCAUUCACCCUGUUUUUAGCCUCGGCCGCUAAGAGGUAAAUCAUUUGAAUUAGCAUCUACAAUAAACCAAUGAACUAUGCAGAACAAUACUGAGUGGGAGAGAAACAUUCAUAUUUUCUGAUUAUUCUCCUCCUACACACCGGUUCUAAUACAAUUUGGGGAGUCAUUCUAUAUUAUUUGCUUCCAUAUGCCGUCGCAUUCACAGAAGUGUUACAUAAUGCAUGUGUCCUCUGUAACAAUGAGUGUUUUUUUUUCAUAGAGACAACAACAGCACAAGGAUGAAAACAUUGCCAUGACCAAGAGUUCUUUAAAUAGUUUAUAAAGACACUUCUAAAAUGACAACGUAAUUUCUAAAGGGUGCCGUUUACCAGUAAAACCAUUACAAAAUGUCUUAUGUAGUGUGUUUUGGGUCUUAUUUCUGUAGGAUGUUCUGGUCUUCUAUUGGUUCCCAUCCACGAGAGAACAUCCCACCAGUAGAGACCCACUGAGACCAUUAUAAAUAGUUUCCAUUUAAACCAACAUGAUUCCGUUUAUUGCCAUUAAAUACUAGAAUUUAUGUGAUUGUUUCUGUUGUUUUAUCUCUUUUUCAGGAGGGGCAUAUGUUCCAUCAGUUGCCACUUGCCAUGUUUUAUUUCUCUCGAUGAUGUCACUUGACUGAAUGGAUUGAAUCCCUCCAAGACCAAUUUUCUCUCUUCAUUUAUUUUUCUGAUUAUACAUUAUGCAGAAAGCAGAUGUCUGUUGGCAUUUAUUCUGGCAAUGACCGCUGGUAAUUAUCUUGUAUACAGAAUGUGGUAAGAGGGUACCGGACCAUAAUUGACAAUGUGAGCUUAAAAUAAGUUUGUCACACUGCCAUUGAUCUGUGUAUUCAAUGUGAUCUCUUCUCACAACUUUGCUGGAAGAGAAAUCAAGGGUAAAAAAUGUACUGUUUUCAAUAAAAAUCCAUAAGAGAGUUGGACAAAAAAUUGCCACUCAGUUAUAGAGACAAGUCCAGACAUUAUUCAUCCUCGUACACUUAAUUAUCAAAAAAAUGUUCUCCAUUUGCACCUUUAAAGUAAUUUGAGAGCGUGUAUGCUAACAAGGAUCUCUUCCAGGUAAUCUAGAAUAUA